GGCUUGCUCUCGGGCAGAUCCCCACCCCCACCACUCCCACACAGCUCUUCCUCAGGGACUGCUAAGGGUCUACCCUCCCACCUGCAUUGCUCUACAAUCUGGCCUCAGCUCUUGCCAACUCUGCCUGUUCCCCCGCUGACUGGGCCUCUGCAGAGAUGUGGGCAGCUGGUCAGGAUGGCCAUUCGGGCUCAGCACAGCAACGCAGCCCAGACUCAGACUGGGGAAGCAAACAGGGGCUGGACAGGCCAGGAGAGCCUGUCGGACAGUGAUCCUGAGAUGUGGGAGUUGCUACAGAGGGAGAAGGACAGGCAGUGUCGUGGCCUGGAGCUCAUUGCCUCAGAGAACUUCUGCAGCCGAGCUGCGCUGGAGGCCCUGGGGUCCUGUCUGAACAACAAGUACUCGGAGGGUUAUCCUGGCAAGAGAUACUAUGGGGGAGCAGAGGUGGUGGAUGAAAUUGAGCUGCUGUGCCAGCGCCGGGCCUUGGAAGCCUUUGACCUGGAUCCUGCACAGUGGGGAGUCAAUGUCCAGCCCUACUCCGGGUCCCCAGCCAACCUGGCCGUCUAUACAGCCCUUCUGCAACCUCACGACCGGAUCAUGGGGCUGGACCUGCCCGAUGGGGGCCAUCUCACCCACGGCUACAUGUCUGACGUCAAGCGGAUAUCAGCCACGUCCAUCUUCUUCGAGUCUAUGCCCUAUAAGCUCAACGGCUUUAGCUGUUUGUGUGUCUGUCCAGCCCAAAACUGGCCUCAUUGACUAUGACCAGCUGGCACUGACUGCUCGACUUUUCCGACCGCGGCUCAUCAUAGCUGGCACCA
rnacentral:sRNA from 1 species